GGAUGAUUUUAGUCACCAUAUA
rnacentral:snRNA from 1 species